rnacentral:lncRNA from 1 species
UCGUUUAUUCACCACCAUCCUAUCUUCAAACUUUACAGACUUUUACUCAAAAUCAACCUCCAUUUCUAUCUUCCUAAUUACACCAACACCAAGUACACAAAGAAAAGAAAAAAAAAGGGAAAAGGGAAGUGGAGAACGUGAGUUGCAAGAGGGCAGCCUCUCUCCACCCUUCCCCUCUGCUGCCAAGUACAGCAGGGAAGGUCUUUCAACCCUUCCCCAUGUCAGCCCCAUCUAAUCUAACCUAUACAUCAGCCACCCUACUGCCAUCAAUCUCGUAGGUUACUCAAGUGCAGCUGCCACUACACUUCUUCAAAUCAGUUUAUCAGCAGCAACCUUCUCAUUUCAUUUCCAUUCCACACUUAGAAAGUUUCAGGACAGCAGGGACCUCAUUCAUUCUCUGCCAGGAGGUAAACUUACUUAACUCUCUUCAACUUCCCCAAGAUUUCAUCUGCAUUGAUGCAAAGAACAUCCACUUCAAUUUCAGUUUCAACCCAGUUGAUACCUUAAGAAAUCGAAGAAGUAGGAGGGAGCAUACCUUCAUUGUUUCCUGCCAAACCCUUAAGGUAAGCUUGGGCUUUACUCCUUCCACCUCCCUGCCGUAAUCUUCCCCCUGCAUUUGUUAAGAGAAACAUCUUAUGACUCUAUUUCAGAUUCUAACAGCUUCCAGUUCGUCUAACUCAGCAACAAAUCACCAACCAACAUUUAUACUUCAAGGUAUUUAUACUAUCUCAUCCACCCUCUCAACAUACACAUCUCGCAUCCUCAGAGCAUGAUCAACCAUUCACAUACUACUACUCUAUUGCAUCAAUGACAUCGCUGAUAAUAAGAAGAGAUACACCUUAGCUCAUAAUCGAACACAGACUUAGUCCCAACAUUGUGGUUUCGAGAUUCAUUUUGCAUACUCUUCGACACCCCAUUGCGGAUUAGAAAACAAAUGAGACUAGAGAACUUAGCUUUAAGAAAUAGGGUCGGCUGCCUAUUCGGUUGAGCCAAGACAACGGCGACGACGGCGACGGCGGCAGCUCUUGCUGCCUCGGCGGAAAUCGUGUGACAACAGCAGCAGUGUCGCGAAUGGAGCAACGACGCUGAAUCGCCGGCCUUCCACAUACGGUGGAGAUGACAGCAGAACCAUGGUGGCGGAGGUGGAAAAGAAACAGGGCUCGACUCCCUGCCCACCUUGACGUCUGAAUCGGGACCUGAACGGCU